rnacentral:rRNA from 1 species
AGGGUUCGAUUCUGGCUCAGGAUGAACGCUGGCGGCGUGCUUAACACAUGCAAGUCGAACGGGAUCCAUCAAGCUUGCUUGGUGGUGAGAGUGGCGAACGGGUGAGUAAUGCGUGACCGACCUGCCCCAUACACCGGAAUAGCUCCUGGAAACGGGUGGUAAUGCCGGAUGCUCCAGUUGAUCGCAUGGUCUUCUGGGAAAGCUUUCGCGGUAUGGGAUGGGGUCGCGUCCUAUCAGCUUGACGGCGGGGUAACGGCCCACCGUGGCUUCGACGGGUAGCCGGCCUGAGAGGGCGACCGGCCACAUUGGGACUGAGAUACGGCCCAGACUCCUACGGGAGGCAGCAGUGGGGAAUAUUGCACAAUGGGCGCAAGCCUGAUGCAGCGACGCCGCGUGAGGGAUGGAGGCCUUCGGGUUGUAAACCUCUUUUAUCGGGGAGCAAGCGAGAGUGAGUUUACCCGUUGAAUAAGCACCGGCUAACUACGUGCCAGCAGCCGCGGUAAUACGUAGGGUGCAAGCGUUAAUCGGAAUUACUGGGCGUAAAGCGUGCGCAGGCGGUUCUGUAAGACAGAUGUGAAAUCCCCGGGCUCAACCUGGGAAUUGCAUUUGUGACUGCAGGACUAGAGUUCAUCAGAGGGGGGUGGAAUUCCAAGUGUAGCAGUGAAAUGCGUAGAUAUUUGGAAGAACACCAAUGGCGAAGGCAGCCCCCUGGGAUGCGACUGACGCUCAUGCACGAAAGCGUGGGGAGCAAACAGGAUUAGAUACCCUGGUAGUCCACGCCCUAAACGAUGUCUACUGGUUGUUGGGGUUUUUUAACCUUGGUAACGAAGCUAACGCGUGAAGUAGACCGCCUGGGGAGUACGGUCGCAAGAUUAAAACUCAAAGGAAUUGACGGGGACCCGCACAAGCGGUGGAUGAUGUGGAUUAAUUCGAUGCAACGCGAAAAACCUUACCUAGCCUUGACAUGCCAGGAAUCCUGAAGAGAUUCGGGAGUGCCCGCAAGGGAAUCUGGACACAGGUGCUGCAUGGCUGUCGUCAGCUCGUGUCGUGAGAUGUUGGGUUAAGUCCCGCAACGAGCGCAA